rnacentral:rRNA from 1 species
CGGUAAUACCAGCUCUCCGAGUGGUGUGGAUGUUUAUUGGGCCUAAAGCAUCCGUAGCUGGCUAAGUUAGUCCCUUGUUAAAUCCACCGAAUUAAUCGUUGGAUUGCGGGGGAUACUGCUUGGCUAGGGGACGAGAGAGGCAGACGGUAUUUCCGGGGUAGGGGUGAAAUCCUAUAAUCCCGGGAAGACCACCAGUGGCGAAGGCUGUCGGCUAGAACGCG